rnacentral:rRNA from 1 species
CCUACGGGGGGCAGCAGUGGGGAAUAUUGCACAAUGGGGGAAACCCUGAUGCAGCAACGCCGCGUGAGCGAUGAAGGCCUUCGGGUCGUAAAGCUCUGUCCUAAGGGAAGAAUACUGACGGUACCUUAGGAGGAAGCCCCGCCAAACUACGUGCCAGCAGCCGGGGUAAUACGUAGGGGGCUAGCGUUAUCCGGAAUUACUGGGCGUAAAGGGUGCGUAGGCGGCCCUUCAAGUCAGAGGUGAAAGGCUACGGCUCAACCGUAGUAAGCCUUUGAAACUGUAGGGCUUGGGUGCAGGAGAGGUGGGUGGACUUCCCAGUGUAGCGGUGAAAUGCGUAGGUAUUGCGAAGAACCCCAGUUGCGAAGGCUGCUCUCUGGACUGUAACUGACGCUGAGGCACGAAAGCGUGGGGAGCGAACAGGAUUAGAUACCCUAGUAGUC